AUUUAAAAGGCCCGACACGUUCACCUAGCUAAUGGUGUGAUGCUCUCGAGUGCCGCCUAGAGUCGGCUGAUAUGAGGUCCAAGGACUUCCAUUUGGUCAAGUGGUCUACCAUCACAAUGAGGCGGACCAAGGCCGGUACGGCACGCAUAGGAGCUUCACGGAAACUGUUGGAAUUUGAUUGCGCCAGAAGGCGGCCAGAAGCCUUCGCAGCAGCAAUUGCCUCCACAGGAAGAAGCAUAGAGAGCCUUGUGGAAAAGGAAAACAAUGCAGACCAACUCAAGGAUCAAGCUCAGAUGGAAAAAUAAAAAAAAAACAG